rnacentral:ncRNA from 1 species
UUCUUCAGGGCAGGGUGUGAUUCCCUACCGGCGGUACAGCCCGCGAGCCGAAAGGCAUGAUUUGGUGAAAUUCCAAAGCCGACAGUAUAGUCUGGAUGAAAGAAGAA